AGAAUCAACGCUGGCGGCGUGCCUAACACAUGCAAGUCGAACGAGAAAGGGUAGCAAUACCUGAGUAAAGUGGCGCACGGGUGAGUAACACGUGACUAACCUACCCUGGAGUGGGGGAUAACUGAGGGAAACCUUAGCUAAUACCGCAUAAUACCUACGGGUCAAAGGAGCAAUUCGCUUCAGGAGGGGGUCGCGGCCGAUUAGUUAGUUGGCGGGGUAAUGGCCCACCAAGACGAUGAUCGGUAUCCGGCCUGAGAGGGCGCGACGGACGACGACCUGGAACUGAAACACGGUCCAGACUCCUACGGGAGGCAGCAGUGGGGAAUUUUGCGCAAUGGGGGAAACCCUGACGCAGCAACGCCGCGUGGAGGAUGAAGUCCCUUGGGACGUAAACUCCUUUCGAUCGGGACGAUAAUGACGGUACCGAGAGAAGAAGCCCCGGCUAACUACGUGCCAGCAGCCGC
rnacentral:rRNA from 1 species